CCUACGGGGGGCAGCAGUGGGGAAUAUUGGACAAUGGGCGCAAGCCUGAUCCAGCAAUGCCGCGUGUGUGAAGAAGGCCUUCGGGUUGUAAAGCACUUUUAUCAGGAGCGAAAUCUGCAGGGCUAAUACCCAUGCAGUCUGACGGUACCGGAAGAAUAAGCACCGGCUAACUACGUGCCAGCAGCCGCGGUAAUACGUAGGGUGCGAGCGUUAAUCGGAAUUACUGGGCGUAAAGCGUGCGCAGGCGGUUUUGUAAGCCAGAUGUGAAAGCCCCGGGCUUAACCUGGGAAUGGCAUUUGGGACUGCAAGGCUUGAGUGCGGCAGAGGAGACUGGAAUUCCUGGUGUAGCAGUGAAAUGCGUAGAUAUCAGGAGGAAUACCGAUGGCGAAGGCAGGUCUCUGGGCUGACACUGACGCUCAUGCACGAAAGCGUGGGGAGCA
rnacentral:rRNA from 1 species